AUUUAUUUUAAUUUCAUGAGCUUUUAUGAUCAAAGUUCAAAAUGGAGUGGAGAAUGUUGUUGAUUUGAAUCAAGAGAGCAAGCUUAAGCAAAAUCAAAUGAAAAGUCUGAGGAGAAUGUAGCGGUAAUAUUAUAUAUAAUAUCGGGUUAUAAGUCAAGAACAAAAGAAAAAACUAUUAGGAGCACAAAGAAAUGUGCCCCCAAAAGUGUGUUAUUAAAACUGUGAUAUUACAU